rnacentral:rRNA from 1 species
GCCUCACGGCAAGUACUGUGUGGGCUCGUGCUCCUGGGUGGUGAGCCGUCAUGUCGUUUACUCGGCGUGGCGGGGAACCACCUCUGUUACCUUGAGAAAAUUAGAGUGUUCAAAGCAGGCCUAUGCCCGAAUACAUUAGCAUGGAAUAAUGAAAUAGGGCUUCAGUUCUAUUUUGUUGGU